AAAAAUUACAUAUAUAUAUAGGGGCACCUGGGUGGCUCAGUCAGUUACGUGUCUGACUUCGACUCAGGUCAUGAUCUCACAGUUCGUGAGUUUGAGAUAUAUAUAUAUAUACACACACAUAUAUACACGUGUGUGUUGUGUGUGUGUGUGUGUGUGUAUUCAGAGAGGGAGAAGAUUAUAUAUACUAUACGUAAUAUACUCUAUAAUUUUUCUUUUUUCAAAAAACCACGCAGUUUGGAUUUGGACACUUAAGACAGUGGCGGUAGCAGAGAGAAGCACUAACCUGGAGAUAAACCCAGAGCCACAGAACAGAGAAACGUGAAGAGUUCAGGCCCACCAUUGUUCAAACCUGGCUUCACUCGUUAGGGGCAAGCGCUGUGCCUCUCUGUGCCUUGGUUUCCUCGUCUGUUCAAUGGGGAUAAUAUUAUUGCCUUCUUGCUGGGGUUGUCUGAGGUCUAAGUGGGUUCAGGUCUUUUACCUCCUUGGCCUGGGGACUGACAGUACAUGCGGGAUAAGUGGCAGAUAUUUGUGACAAAACAGUACUCAUCCGUCUACCCCCAACCCCACGUGCAGAAGUCAGGCAUUUGAAAUCGGAUUAAAGGGCAGGGGUGAGUGGUUAGCCGUUGGCUUCACAGAACACGGGUUGGUUUGCUGUGUCACAUCGGCAGGGCCCCUGGUGGUGGGUGGUUGGACUUUGAGAUCUGUGUUCUAAGAUUCUGAGGAUUCAGCUCAGCUGAGGAGGGGAAAGGGCAGGAGAGAGGGUUCCGGGAGGCUGUAGGGUAGGGGGCCUGGAGGCUGCUGACAUCAUGCCUCCUCCCUUCCCUGGCUGGGGGCCAGCUCCGCCGGCCCUCUCCCAGCAGGAGGCCACCCUGUCCCCCAGGCGUCCCGGGCCCGGGGAAUUGACAGCAGAUAAGUCAGGGAGGGGACAGCGGCCCUUAGGCACGCCUCGGAGAGAAGCAAGGCGCUGGGGGCAGCAAGCGCCGGCGCGGGGACAGAUAAAACCCGCGGCCGGGGAGCUGCCCCGGUGUAUAACCCUCGCGGACCUAGAGAGCUCCGGGAACUCGCCCGGGCCACACAGCGGGACCUGCACGGUCGCGGCCCUGCCCUCUGUGAGCCCGGGCCCCGUGUGGCAGCGCCCCGCGCGCAUGUCCCAUCCAACUCUUUCCCUUCCGGGGGCGCCGCCAGUGACCGCUGCCGAUGCCCGCAGGUCGAGCACCGAGCUGCGCAAGGAGAAGUCCCGGGAUGCGGCCCGCAGCCGGCGCAGCCAGGAGACCGAGGUGCUGUACCAGCUAGCGCACACGCUGCCCUUCGCGCGCGGGGUCAGCGCCCACCUGGACAAGGCUUCCAUCAUGCGCCUCACCAUCAGCUACCUGCGCAUGCACCGCCUCUGCGCCGCAGGGGAGUGGAACCAGGUGGGAGCAGGGGGAGAAGCUCUGGAUGCCUGCUACCUGAAGGCCCUGGAGGGCUUCGUCAUGGUGCUCACUGCCGAGGGAGACAUGGCUUACCUGUCGGAGAAUGUCAGCAAACACCUGGGCCUCAGUCAGCUGGAGCUCAUCGGACACAGCAUCUUUGAUUUCAUCCACCCCUGUGACCAACAGGAGCUCCAGGACGCCCUGACCCCCCGGCCGAGUCUGUCCAAAAAGAAGCCAGAGGCCCCCACCGAGCGGUGUUUCUCUUUGCGCAUGAAGAGUACCCUCACCAGCCGCGGGCGCACCCUCAACCUCAAGGCGGCCACCUGGAAGGUGCUGUACUGCUCUGGACACAUGAGGGCCUACAAGCCCCCUGCGCAGACUUCCCCCGAAGGGAGCCCCAACUUGGAGCCGCCUCUGCAAUGCCUGGUCCUCAUCUGUGAAGCCAUCCCCCACCCGGGCAGCCUGGAGCCCCCGCUGGGCCGGGGGGCCUUCCUCAGCCGCCACAGCCUGGACAUGAAGUUCACCUACUGUGAUGAGAGGAUCGCGGAGGUGGCUGGCUACAGCCCCAAUGACCUGAUCGGCUGCUCCGCCUACGAGUACAUCCACGCUCUGGACUCGGAUGCCGUUGGCCAGAGCAUUCACACCUUGCUGAGCAAGGGCCAGGCGGUAACGGGGCAGUAUCGCUUCCUGGCCCGGAGUGGUGGCUAUCUGUGGACCCAGACUCAGGCCACAGUGGUGUCAGGGGGCCGGGGUCCCCAGUCUGAGAGCAUCGUCUGCGUCCACUUUUUGAUCAGCCGGGUAGAAGAGACCGGAGUGGUGCUGUCCCUGGAGCAAACCGAGCGACACUCCCGCAGACCCGCUCAGCGGGGCACCCCCUCCCAGAAGGACGCCCCUGAUCCUGGGGACAGCCUUGAUGCCUCUGGUCCCCGGAUCCUGGCCUUCCUGCACCCCCCUGCCCUGAGCGAGGCCACCCUGGCCGCUGACCCCCGCAGCUUCUGUAGCCCUGACCUCCGUCGCCUCCUGGCACCUAUCUUGGACGGGACUUCAGUAGCUGCCACCCCCAGCGCACCCCCAGCCACACGGCGCCCCCAAAGCCCUCUUCCGGCCGAUCUGCCAGAUGAACCACUCAUGGACAUGGAGAAUACACACAAACUCUUGGCCUCUGGGAAAGACCUUGAGGCUGUGGAGACAGAUCUAGAUAUAGCUCAGGACCCUGGCUCAGAGCUCAGAGGACGAGGCCGAGGGGGUGGAGCUGCUGGGAGUGAAACCCCCCAAACGGUCCCCCAGCCCAGAACCCGAAAACUUCCUGCUGCCUCCCCUCAGCCUGGAAUGCCUAGAACAAGGCUGCAUAUUGCUGGAAUCCACCCGCCCAGGUCGGCCUGCUGGGACACAGAGGAAGGGGCAAACAAGGCUCUGGAGGGACACACAGAGGAGAGCUGUCUAGGACCCUGGCUCAAUCCAAAGUCCCAUAGCCCACAAGUGGCUGCUGAACCCCACAGUGCUCCUAACCGCCGCGCCAUCCUGCCUUCUGGGAUGUUCACGAUGAUGGCGGUGGUGGUGGUGGUGGCAGCUUUGUCUCUGUCCUGCAGAGUUUCCUUCUGACAGGAGGGCCAGCUCCAGGGAGCCAGCAGGAUCCCAGCACCCACCUCCUGGAACUGAAUGAGCCCCUCCGCCUGGGUCCCCCGCUGCUCUCUCUCUACCCGGACGAGGACCCCGUGGAGCCCAGGAGCCACUUCCAACCAGCGGCAGGCUUGGCCCAGGCCAACUGAGCCAGCUCUGCGGGCCCUCUUCCCUGCGCCCUUCCACUCCCCAGAAAGGACCUCAGCCACACUCCACGCCAGCAGCCAAAGCACAGGAUGGGGGCACCAGGAGAGGGGCUCCCUCUCUCCUUUCAGUGGCCCCCGCCCACCUCGGGCCUACCUCAGCCCUCACCCCUCUGCCCCUCCAUGUCUGGGGGGCUUUCUGGGGUGGUCUCAGCUCAGUGACCUCUGGGAGGGGGCCCCUGGCGCCCUCCUCCUCCUUCUCUCAGGACUUCCCUUGCGGCUCUCUGUACUGGUUACCUCAUCCCUUUGUCCCACUCUCCUGGCUUGAUUUUGGGUAAUUAGGGGUGGGGGAGGUAGGGGCUCAGGUCUGUGUUUCUGGGCUCUGGGGAGUAUUGAUAACCACAGUCACGUUUCUUUCCAUCCAUUUUUGUUGUUUUCACAACAGGGUUUUAAUCGCUAUGAAUUGCCUGGGGCCCAUAAGAAUGCAGAGCUCUGAUUCCCACCCCCCCCCUUCUUCAGGUGUUAAUGGGGGGGGGCCUCUGGGGCAGACCUCACCCCUAGCAACUUCAGAUCAACCCCUUAGCCUCCCAAGUGGCCACCCCACUCUGCCUGCCCCUCCCCUGGGAGCUUCCGCUGUCCUCAGUCUCCCCUGGGCACUGGCUUCAUUCAUGGGCUUCCUAUUUCCAGGGGCAGCCUCCAACUUCUACUGCUUCCAGAUCGUAUGACUUCCAGCUCUCUCCGGUUCUAGGCCACUCAAUUCCUGGCCUUCUCCGGUUCUAGACCGCACAGCCCCCCAGACACAGUCUGGUUUCGAGCUCACAUGCUCCAAACCCCUCUGAUUCCAGACCUCACGACAGCCAGCUCUUUCUCGUUCUGGACCUCACAACCUAAACUUUAUAUUGGUUCUAGUCUUCCUGACCUGUAAUACAUUUGGUUCCAAAUCCAGACUCCUUAAGCUUCUAAAUCAUGAUGCUUCAUGAUGCCCAGCUCCUUCCUUUUCAACUUUCUACACUCAAGACUUGCUUUUCCAAUCAAAAAGAAGUAAAACGAGCUUUAUGUCUUGAUCUUACAAUCACGCUAAUACUUCCAGACCACACACCAAUUCUCUUUUGCUCUAGACCUCAUGACCUCCAUCAUUCACUGGUUCGAGGCUAUAAAACCAUUAGACCUUGCGAUUUCCAGGACCCUCUGAUUCCAGAUCUGAUGAUCUCAUUUUCCCCUGACUUUUGAACUUGGCUUCAAAUGUCUUCUGAUUCCAGACUUCAUCCUAUAAAUUCUCCUGGUUCUAGACCUCACAAUCUCCAAUGCCCUCUCUAGAUCUUAUGACUCCAAAUUACCCUAGAUCUAGAACUUAACCUCCAAACAUCUAAUUCUAGAUCUUGCCUUAAAAAAAUUUCUGGUUCUAGACCCUACAACCCCCAGCUCCUGAUUCUAGAUCCUGACUCCAAAAUCUCUCUGGUUCUAGAACUCGGUCCUCAGACUUCUGAAUUCCAUUCUGUAUAGUCUAUAGAUUCCUCUGGUUCGAGGCCUCACAGCCUCCCAUCAUCUCUGAUUUCAGAUCAAAUUCAUUUGGUUCUAGAACUCAGCCUCCAAGUGCCUCUGCUAGUGGACUUUACGCCUAAGCCCCUCCGUUCUUGAUCUCAUGUCCCUGAAGUUUCCCUCUCCUAGAACCACCACCACUGCCCCACCCCCAGCUCUCCAGAGAUGCACUUCCCUUUACUUGACCCCAGGUACCUGGGGGACCUGGGGCUCCCUUACAAUCCAGAUUUCCCCAGCCGCACAGACACACGCACAGCCCUAUCUGCAUAUCACGGGUGGGGAGAGAGGCUGGGACUCCUCAGUACUCCGCCACUACCUGUGUAUCCCCCUUUGGCCCCCACCCCAUUGCUACGACGGUGCUACUCUUGGUCUCCCCCACAAAAAGGCCUCCCUCUCUCAGCUCAGUUCACCCCCACUUUGGAAGGCACUUCUCUGUUUUGUCCGGGGAUGGCCUGUCCAGAUUGGUGCUAUGGGGGAAGAAGGCUCUGGCCCCUCCUUCCCUCAGGGGGUGACCUGGGCCCUCGAUGGAGGGAACUGGACGGGGUUGGGGGAGGGGAAGGGACUGGUCCAGCCACUCUGGCUCUGAAACCCGCUAGUCUGUACACCAGCAUAAAGACUUCGCCUUGGUAGGCACCAGA